UACGUAGGGUGCGAGCGUUAAUCGGAAUUACUGGGCGUAAAGCGUGCGCAGGCGGUUUUGUAAGCCAGAUGUGAAAGCCCCGGGCUCAACCUGGGAAUGGCAUUUGGGACUGCAAGGCUUGAGUGCGGCAGAGGAGACUGGAAUUCCUGGUGUAGCAGUGAAAUGCGUAGAUAUCAGGAGGAAUACCGAUGGCGAAGGCAGCACUCUGGGACGGUACUGACGCUGAGACGCGAAAGCGUGGGGAGCGAACAGG
rnacentral:rRNA from 1 species